rnacentral:rRNA from 1 species
GAUGAACGCUGGCGGCGUGCCUAAUACAUGCAAGUCGAGCGAACAGACGAGGAGCUUGCUCCUCUGACGUUAGCGGCGGACGGGUGAGUAACACGUGGAUAACCUACCUAUAAGACUGGGAUAACUUCGGGAAACCGGAGCUAAUACCGGAUAAUAUAUUGAACCGCAUGGUUCAAUAGUGAAAGACGGUUUUGCUGUCACUUAUAGAGGGAUCCGCGCCGGAUUAGCUAGUUGGGAAGGUAACGGCUUACCAAGGCAACGAUGCGUAGCCGACCUGGGAGGGUGGUCGGCCACACUGGAACUGAGACACGGUCCAGACUCCUACGGGAGGCAGCAGUAGGGAAUCUUCCGCAAUGGGCGAAAGCUUGACGGAGCAACGCCGCGUGAGUGAUGAAGGUCUUCCGAUCGUAAAACUCUGUUAUUAGGGAAGAACAAAUGUGUAAGUAACUAUGCACGUCUUGACGGUACCUUAUCAGAAAGCCACGGCUAACUACGUG